AAAGUUCGUAACAAGGUCUCCGUUGGUGAACCAGCGGAGGGAUCAUUACAGAGUUGCAAAACUCCCAAACCAUUGUGAACGUUACCCAUCCCGUUGCUUCGGCGGGCGGCCCGGGCCCCGUGCCCGGCGCCCCCCGGCCCCUCGCGGGCGCCCGCCGGAGGUAAACCAAACUCUUGAAUUGUAUGGCCUCUCUGAGUCUUCUGUACUGAAUAAGUCAAAACUUUCAACAACGGAUCUCUUGGUUCUGGCAUCGAUGAAGAACGCAGCGAAAUGCGAUAAGUAAUGUGAAUUGCAGAAUUCAGUGAAUCAUCGAAUCUUUGAACGCACAUUGCGCCCGCCAGUAUUCUGGCGGGCAUGCCUGUUCGAGCGUCAUUUCAACCAUCAAGCCCCCGGCUUGUGUUGGGGACCUGCGGCUGCCGCAGGCCCUGAAAACCAGUGGCGGGCUCGCUAGUCACUCCGAGCGUAGUAGUUACAUCUCGCUCAGGGCGUGCUGCGGGUUCCGGCCGUUAAAAAGCCUUAUUUACCCCAAGGUUGACCUCGGAUCAGGUAGGAAGACCCGCUGAACUUAAGCAUAUCAAUAA
rnacentral:rRNA from 1 species